ACGUAGGGGGCAAGUGUUAUCCGGAAUUACUGGGUGUAAAGGGAGCGUAGGCGGCAUGGUAAGCCAGAUGUGAAAGCCCGAAGCUUAACUUCGAGGAUUGCAUUUGGAACUAUCAAGCUAGAGUACAGGAGAGGAAAGCGGAAUUCCUAGUGUAGCGGUGAAAUGCGUAGAUAUUAGGAAGAACACCAGUGGCGAAGGCGGCUUUCUGGACUGAAACUGACGCUGAGGCUCGAAAGCGUGGGGAGCAAACAG
rnacentral:rRNA from 1 species